rnacentral:rRNA from 1 species
CGGAACCCUUCGGGGUUUAGUGGCGGACGGGUGAGUAACGCGUGAGGAUCUGCCUUCAGGACGGGGACAACAGUUGGAAACGACUGCUAAGACCCGAUGUGCCGAGAGGUGAAAUUAAUUUAGCCUGAAGAUGAACUCGCGUCGGAUUAGCUAGUUGGAGUGGUAACGGCACACCAAGGCGACGAUCCGUAGCUGGUCUGAGAGGAUGACCAGCCACACUGGGACUGAGACACGGCCCAGACUCCUACGGGAGGCAGCAGUGGGGAAUUUUCCGCAAUGGGCGAAAGCCUGACGGAGCAAGACCGCGUGGGGGAGGAAGGUCUGUGGAUUGUAAACCCCUUUUGUCAGGGAAGAAUCAAAUGACGGUACCUGACGAAUCAGCCUCGGCUAACUCCGUGCCAGCAGCCGCGGUAAUACGGAGGAGGCAAGCGUUAUCCGGAAUUAUUGGGCGUAAAGCGUCCGCAGGUGGUUAUACAAGUCUGCUGUCAAAGCGCGAGGCUCAACUUCGUACCGGCAGUGGAAACUGUAGGACUAGAGAAUGAUAGGGGCAGAGGGAAUUCCCAGUGUAGCGGUGAAAUGCGUAGAGAUUGGGAAGAACACCGGUGGCGAAAGCGCUCUGCUGGGUCAUAUCUGACACUGAGGGACGAAAGCUAGGGGAGCGAAAGGGAUUAGAUACCCCUGUAGUC